GACGAACGCUGGCGGCGUGCUUAACACAUGCAAGUCGAACGAUGAAGGAGAGCUUGCUCUCCGGAUUAGUGGCGAACGGGUGAGUAACACGUGACUAACCUGCCCCUUUCUCUGGGAUAACGCUCCGAAAGGAGUGCUAAUACCGGAUACGAACUCUGAACACAUGUUCGGAGUAGGGAAGUUUUUCGGAAAGGGAUGGAGUCGCGGCCUAUCAGCUUGUUGGUGAGGUAACGGCUCACCAAGGCGACGACGGGUAGCCGGCCUGAGAGGGCGACCGGCCACACUGGGACUGAGACAUGGCCCAGACUCCUACGGGAGGCAGCAGUGGGGAAUAUUGCACAAUGGGCGAAAGCCUGAUGCAGCGACGCCGCGUGAGGGAUGAAGGUCUUCGGAUUGUAAACCUCUUUCAGUAGGGACGAAGCGAAAGUGACGGUACCUAAAGAAGAAGCACCGGCUAACUACGUGCCAGCAGCCGCCGUAA
rnacentral:rRNA from 1 species